rnacentral:rRNA from 1 species
UACGUAGGGUGCAAGCGUUGUCCGGAAUUAUUGGGCGUAAAGAGCUCGUAGGCGGUCUGUCACGUCGGCUGUGAAAACCUAGGGCUCAACCCUGGGCCUGCAGCCGAUACGGGCAGACUAGAAUUCGGUAGGGGAGACUGGAAUUUACGGUGUAGCGGUGAAAUGCGUAGAUAUCAGGAGGAACACCGGUGGUGUAGACGGCUUACUGGACCACGACUGACACUGAGGCACGAAAGCGUGGGUAGCAAACAGG